GCUCUGAUAGUUCAACGGAUAGAACGUGGGUUUCCUAAACCUAAAAUCUGGGUUCGAUUCCCAGUCGGAGUACCA
rnacentral:tRNA from 1 species